rnacentral:rRNA from 1 species
AGUGAACGCUGGCGGUAGGCCUAACACAUGCAAGUCGAACGGCAGCACAGUAAGAGCUUGCUCUUACGGGUGGCGAGUGGCGGACGGGUGAGGAAUACAUCGGAAUCUACUUUUUCGUGGGGGAUAACGUAGGGAAACUUACGCUAAUACCGCAUACGACCUACGGGUGAAAGCAGGGGAUCUUCGGACCUUGCGCGAUUGAAUGAGCCGAUGUCGGAUUAGCUAGUUGGCGGGGUAAAGGCCCACCAAGGCGACGAUCCGUAGCUGGUCUGAGAGGAUGAUCAGCCACACUGGAACUGAGACACGGUCCAGACUCCUACGGGAGGCAGCAGUGGGGAAUAUUGGACAAUGGGCGCAAGCCUGAUCCAGCCAUACCGCGUGGGUGAAGAAGACCUUCGGGUUGUAAAGCCCUUUUGUUGGGAAAGAAAAGCAGCAGGUUAAUACCCCGCUGUUCUGACGGUACCCAAAGGAUAAGCACCGGCUAACUUCGUG